AGCUCUUUCCGUAGGGGAAAGGCUGACUGGGUGACCAGCAGACGACCGUGACGAAUAACACACAUUAAACAAGCAGGGACGUGAGGAAUGAAAGAGUCGCAUUGCCUCACUCACCGCCAUCUCAGAAACGCGUGAAAGUGUCACAAAACCUUAAUGUGGAUUCAGCACUGAGCACACGCUGACGCUAGGUAAGGUCAGCACUGCCUCCCUCCCCUCUCCUCUUCUCCCCUCGCCUCCUGACGCAGUCUACUUGAGGAGAGAGAGACAUGAUGCGAUUCAUUCACUCAUCGUCCUUUCUCUCAUCCACAUUCAACCUUCUGUUCGCUAAUUUCCUCCUAAUUAACACUACCAUUAGUCAUUCAAUCAAGUACUUUUCUUCGUCCCGUGUCCUUUGUGUCAGUGUCGAAGCGUUGAAUCACUGACGGCUUCAUAUCUUCAAAAAACACUCCAAUAAUACGAAUUCUAAAUUCCAAGGAUACUUCCUCUGCAGCACAUCACUACUGGCUGCCUUCAACUCCUCCUUUGCUUCGUAAUACAAUGGUGGGUGUGAGGCGAGGACUGCUGCCGCUGCUGACGUUACCGCUGCUGCUGGUGGUGGCGCAAGUCGCUGAGGCACCCCUUCCCCCCGUCAUGUGCCUCCUGGAGAAGCUGGUGGAGAUGGAGGGACGCAAACAGCUACGCUACAUCACGUGUAAUCGUGUGCCAGCGCUGGGAGUCUAUCACCUGAUCCCCCUUAAGAGACUCUGCGACGAUGACCAGAGAAAGAUGACGAUGAUAGAAGACAACGCGCAAGAGGUGUAUGAUAAGUGCUGCCGUCUCGCCCGCCCUGUUUACUGCACAGAAGAGGAGUGGCGUAUAGUGACGAGGAUUCGCUACAGGAUAGUCUUCUGCACGCAUCACCCGGAACUCUGCAGAGCAGCGAUACCUCCGUCCCUGUAGCGUAGAGACCUCAAGCACCUUACUUCAGCUCCUAACCGCUUACGUCUCUUGCAUCUGUCACCGCUACUGCAGUUACUCCAGACUCAGCCUCAGAGAGAGAGAGAGAGAGAGAGAGAGAAGUCAAAGGAUGUGAUAUCAGCACUUCAUCCCGGUGGUGUGUGUGUGUGUGUGUGUGUGUGUGUGCGUGUGUACGUGCGUGCGUGUGUGUGUGUGUGUGUGUGUGUGUGUGUGUGUGUGUGUGUGUGUGUGUGUGUGUGUUCAACCACUAUGAAGAGAAAUAACUGGUAUAAAUAUAUCUUAAGUGCGUGUGUAUGUUACGUGUUUAGUUCAAGGAAUGGUGUGUGUGAUGAUCUUAAGGUUCAAAUCUCGAUGUAUAUUUCAGGAAUGAAUAUUUGAGCGUAGUGAUGCUUAUCGUUGUUGUUAUUGUUGUCUGUCGUAAAUCAUUGCGUGUUCUUAUUGCUGUUGUUGUUGUUGUUGUUGUUGUUGUAGCUAUUGUUGAUUUUGUUGAUGGUGGAGUUAGUGGUAAUUUUGUUGUUUUGUUGUUUAUUG
rnacentral:misc_RNA from 1 species